rnacentral:rRNA from 1 species
GACAGAGGGUGCAAACGUUGUUCGGAAUUACUGGGCGUAAAGAGCGUGUAGGCGGCUUGGUAGGUCCGCUGUGAAAACUCGAGGCUCAACCUCGAGAUGUCGGCGGAAACCACUUGGCUAGAGUCCGGAAGAGGAGAGUGGAAUUCCUGGUGUAGCGGUGAAAUGCGCAGAUAUCAGGAAGAACACCUAUGGCGAAGGCAGCUCUCUGGGACGGUACUGACGCUGAGACGCGAAAGCGUGGGGAGCGAACAGG